rnacentral:rRNA from 1 species
UACGUAGGGUGCAAGCGUUGUCCGGAAUUAUUGGGCGUAAAGAGCUCGUAGGCGGUCUGUCGCGUCUGCUGUGAAAACUCAGGGCUUAACCCUGAGCUUGCAGUGGGUACGGGCAGACUAGAGUGCGGUAGGGGAGACUGGAAUUCCUGGUGUAGCGGUGAAAUGCGCAGAUAUCAGGAGGGAACACCGGUGGGCGAAGGCGGGUCUCUGGGCCGUAACUGACGCUGGAGGAGCGAAAGCCGUGGGGAGCAAACAGG